GUGUUUAGCAGAAAGACAAUCCAUUUUUCCCCCAGUCAAUUUUUUUUUCUUUGAUCUAAAAAACUUGCUUCUUUUCUUUGAAGUUGUUCACAAUAGGGUAUGAUAGAAGGAGCACAGAGUGCCAGAAGCAGAAAACUACUAUGCUUCACUAGUGACUCAUAAGAAAACUUAAUAGAAGGUCUCUGAUGCCCACUGGCUCUAAAGUAGCUGAUUGAUGUAGUUACAAACUAAGUAGGCUACCUUUAUGGAACCAAGCACAUCAGAGUCAUAGGAAGGAGUAUAGGGAGAGGAUCCUUUGUUUCCUAGCAGUGACAAAGAUAAACAUUAACAGUGCAAGACACAGUGAGAAACACAGAUCCAGGGAUGGACGAUCCUUCUGAGGACAAUAUAGAGACAAUUUGUCUAAGUUUCCUGAGUGAGAAACCUUCCAGAUGGCAUCCCUGAAAGUUAGUUAUUCCUGCUCAAAACACAGAGCUUUCUCAAGAGGAAGAUAACACUUCCUUUCAUCAGAGAGUGAGAGUUUUCAACA